GGCAGCAGUGAGGAAUAUUGGACAAUGGGGGAAACCCUGAUGCAGCGACGCCGCGUGAGCGAUGAAGGUCUUCGGAUCGUAAAGCUCUGUCCUUAGGGAAGAAUAUUGACGGUACCUAAGGAGGAAGCCCCGGCUAACUACGUGCCAGCAGCCGCGGUAAUACGUAGGGGGCGAGCGUUGUCCGGAAUCACUGGGCGUAAAGGGAGCGUAGGCGGCUCUGUAAGUCAGAUGUUAAAGGCAUUGGCUCAACCAAUGUAGGCAUUUGAAACUACAGGGCUUGAGUACAGGAGAAGAGAGUGGAAUUCCUAGUGUAGCGGUGAAAUGCGUAGAUAUUAGGAGGAACACCAGUGGCGAAGGCGACUCUCUGGACUGUUACUGACGCUGAGGCUCGAAAGCGUGGGGAGCAAACAGGAUUAGAUACCCUGGUAGUCCACGCCGUAAACGAUGAGUGCUAGGUGUUGGGGCCGACAGGUUUCAGUGCCGCAGUUAACACAUUAAGCACUCCGCCUGGGGAGUACGAUCGCAAGAUUGAAACUCAAAUGAAUUG
rnacentral:rRNA from 1 species